rnacentral:rRNA from 1 species
CCUACGGGGGGCAGCAGUGAGGAAUAUUGGUCAAUGGGCGCGAGCCUGAACCAGCCAAGUCGCGUGAGGGAGGACGGCCCUACGGUUUGUAAACCUCUUUUGCCGGGGAGCAACGGGCGUCACGUGUGGCGCCACUGAGAGUACCCGGAGAAAAAGCAUCGGCUAACUCCGUGCCAGCAGCCGCGGUACUACGGAGGAUGCGAGGUUUAUCCGGAUUUAUUGGGUUUACAGGGUGCGUAGGCGGAUCGUGAAGUCAGUGGUAAAAUUGAGGGGCUAAACCCCUUCCCGCCAUUGAAACUGGCGCUCUUGAGUGGAAGAGAGGUAUGCGGAAUGCGUGGUGUAGCGGUGAAAUGCAUAGAUAUCACGCAGAACCCCGAUUGCGAAGGCAGCAUGCCGGCUUCCGACUGACGCUGAAGCACGAAAGCGUGGGGAUCGAACAGGAUUAGAUACCCUUGUAGUC